rnacentral:lncRNA from 1 species
CAGGAACUUAAUAAUUUACACAUCAAUUUAUAAGAUUUAUUCUUGGAUAUAUUUCACAAGAAAUGGAAUGGAAGUUUUUAUGAGAACAUAUACUUAGGAACAUCUACCAAUUGAGAUCGAAGGACUUUUGAAAGCAUAAAUGAGAAAGGUACAUGGUGAUAAAUUCCAAGUUGUCAAUAUCUCACAUUGUAUGAAAUAUAAUGGCAAAAAGACAAACUCAAAUGACCAUAUCUUCAACUUCAUAUAUAAGUGAGGCAUAAGUGUCCUUAGCUGAGAAAUGAAUGAACUUAA